AACGAACGCUGGCGGCAGGCCUAACACAUGCAAGUCGAACGGGAAGCCACCUUCGGGUGGUGGACAGUGGCAGACGGGUGAGUAACGCGUGGGAACGUGCCUUUCGGUUCGGAAUAACCCAGGGAAACUUGGGCUAAUACCGGAUACGCCCUUCGGGGGAAAGAUUCAUUGCCGAAAGAUCGGCCCGCGUCGGAUUAGCUAGUUGGGGGGGUAAUGGCUCACCAAGGCGACGAUCCGUAGCUGGUCUGAGAGGAUGACCAGCCACACUGGGACUGAGACACGGCCCAGACUCCUACGGGAGGCAGCAGUGGGGAAUAUUGGACAAUGGGCGAAAGCCUGAUCCAGCCAUGCCGCGUGGGUGAAGAAGGCCUUAGGGUUGUAAACCCCUUUCAGCGGGGAAGAUAAUGACGGUACCCGCAGAAGAAGCACCGGCUAACUCCGUGCCAGCCGCCGCGGUAAUAC
rnacentral:rRNA from 1 species